rnacentral:rRNA from 2 species
UAACUACGUGCCAGCAGCCGCGGUAAUACGUAGGUGGCAAGCGUUGUCCGGAUUUAUUGGGCGUAAAGCGAGCGCAGGCGGUUUUUUAAGUCUGAUGUGAAAGCCUUCGGCUCAACCGAAGAAGUGCAUCGGAAACUGGGAAACUUGAGUGCAGAAGAGGACAGUGGAACUCCAUGUGUAGCGGUGAAAUGCGUAGAUAUAUGGAAGAACACCAGUGGCGAAGGCGGCUGUCUGGUCUGUAACUGACGCUGAGGCUCGAAAGUAUGGGUAGCAAACAGGAUUAGAUACCCUGGUAGUCCAUACCGUAAACGAUGAAUGCUAAGUGUUGGAGGGUUUCCGCCCUUCAGUGCUGCAGCUAACGCAUUAAGCAUUCCGCCUGGGGAGUACGGCCGCAAGGCUGAAACUCAAAGGAAUUGACGGGGGCCCGCACAAGCGGUGGAGCAUGUGGUUUAAUUCGAAGCUACGCGAAGAACCUUACCAGGUCUUGACAUACUAUGCAAAUCUAAGAGAUUAGACGUUCCCUUCGGGGACAUGGAUACAGGUGGUGCAUGGUUGUCGUCAGCUCGUGUCGUGAGAUGUUGGGUUAAGUCCCGCAACGAGCGCAACCCUUAUUAUCAGUUGCCAGCAUUAAGUUGGGCACUCUGGUGAGACUGCCGGUGACAAACCGGAGGAAGGUGGGGAUGACGUCAAAUCAUCAUGCCCCUUAUGACCUGGGCUACACACGUGCUACAAUGGAUGGUACAACGAGUUGCGAACUCGCGAGAGUAAGCUAAUCUCUUAAAGCCAUUCUCAGUUCGGAUUGUAGGCUGCAACUCGCCUACAUGAAGUCGGAAUCGCUAGUAAUCGCGGAUCAGCAUGCCGCGGUGAAUACGUUCCCGGGCCUUGUACACACCGCCCGUCACACCAUGAGAGUUUGUAACACCCAAAGUCGGUGGGGUAACCUUUUA